GUCCGUCCGUCCGUCCGUAACACUUUGUGUCCGCUCCAUAUCUAGAGAACCAUUAUGAUUUCAUACUUUAUACUUUACAUGUUUAUUAACCACCACCAGAGGGCGUGUCAUGAUGUAUGUACAACUUCCUAGGUCAAAGGUCAAGGUCAAAAAACUUUGGUUUCAGUUGACAACCCUGUGUCCUGUGAUGAAGAUCGUGUCCGCUCUAUAUCUUGAGAACCGUUAUGAUUUCAAAGUUUAUACUUGACAUGUAUAUGAACCAACACCAGAGGGUGUGUCAUAAUUUAUGAACGACUGCCUAGGGCAUAGUUCAAGGUCAAAAACUUUGGUUUCAGUUGACAACCCCAUGUCCUAUGGUAAAGAUUGUGUCCGCUCUAUAUCUUGAGAACCGUUAUCAUUUCAAAGUUUAUAACUUGACAUGUAUAUAAACCAACACCAAAGGGUGUGUCAUAAUUUAUGUGCAACUUCCUAGGUCAAAGGUCAAGGUCAAAAACUUUGGUUUCAGUUGACAACCCCAUGUUCUAUGGUAAAGAUCGUGUCCGCUCUAUAUCUUGAGAACCUUUAUCAUUUCAAAGUUUAUACUUGACAUGUUUAUAACCACACCAAAGGGGUGUGUUCAUAAUUUAUUUACAACUUCAUAGGUCAAAGGUCAAGGUCAAAAACUUUGAUUUCAGUUGACAAACCCAUGUCCUAUGGUAAAGAUACAAUUUUUU
rnacentral:lncRNA from 1 species